rnacentral:rRNA from 1 species
AGUGAACGCUGGCGGUAGGCCUAACACAUGCAAGUCGAACGGCAGCACAGUAAGAGCUUGCUCUUACGGGUGGCGAGUGGCGGACGGGUGGGGAAUACAUCGGAAUCUACUUUUUCGUGGGGGAUAACGUAGGGAAACUUACGCUAAUACCGCAUACGACCUACGGGUGAAAGCAGGGGAUCUUCGGACCUUGCGCGAUUGAAUGAGCCGAUGUCGGAUUAGCUAGUUGGCGGGGUAAAGGCCCACCAAGGCGACGAUCCGUAGCUGGUCUGAGAGGAUGAUCAGCCACACUGGAACUGAGACACGGUCCAGACUCCUACGGGAGGCAGCAGUGGGGAAUAUUGGACAAUGGGCGCAAGCCUGAUCCAGCCAUACCGCGUGGGUGAAGAAGGCCUUCGGGUUGUAAAGCCCUUUUGUUGGGAAAGAAAAGCAGCAGGUUAAUACCCCGCUGUUCUGGCGGUACCCAAAGAAUAAGCACCGGCUAACUUCGUG